CCUACAGAGGCCUCCAGUCUUACAAAGUGCAACGAGGAGCGAUCGCGACAGCAGACGGCAGGAGCGAGGGAGUCGACGCCGCCGUUAGACGCGAGAAAAGACAGAGGAGUUAAGGACGGCCAGUCGGACGAGGAAAAUUCCCGGCUAUCACGGACCCUACAAGAUCCUCCAAGAGAAAAAUCAAAGAUUUUAAUAAACCAGGUUUUGUUCUUAUUUUGAUAAA